CCUUCCUUCUAAAUGCAAAGGCAUCCUCACAGGAACAUUCAAGGCUCCCCCAGAGCAGAGAUUCUCAAAGCAAAGCCUUCAAACAAGUAGCAUCACCUGAAAACUUGUUAGAAUCACAGGCUGCCACCAGUGCAAUAGUGGCGUGUGGCGUGUGUGUGUGUGUGUGAAUGAGUGUUAUGUGUAUGUGUGAAUGAGUGUGUGUAUGUGUGUGUGUGUGAAUGAGUAUGUAUGUGUGUGCAAGCGUGUGUAUGAGUGUGUGCUUGUGUGAGUGUGUGUGCUUGUGUGAAUGUGUGUGUAUGUGUGAAUGAGUGUGUAUGUGUGUGUGAGUAUGUGUGAGUGAGUGUGUUUGUGUGUGUGUGAGUGUAUGUGAGUGUGUGUGAAUGAGUAUGUAUGUGUAUGUGUGAGUGUGUGUGUAUGUGAGUGUGUGUGUAUGUGAGUGUAUUUGAGUGUGUGUGAGUGUGUGAGUGUGUGUGAGAGAGUGUGUGUGUGAGAGUGUGUAAACCAACUGCUUUCUGAUUGGAUUUGAUGCCUGAUCCACAGGAGGGAACUCCUAUCAUGUGCUGUAAAUUCAGUCAGAAACCCGUGGGGGUGAGGGUUUCACAUGCGCUAGUCUUGGAAGUUACAGAUAUCAUUUUGCUAUGCAGACACAAUGUGUGUAUGGAAUCAUCUUGUCAUGGCUAUUUAUGCCCAUAAAAUGGUGCUGCCUAUCAGCUUUGGCCAGAGUAGCUUCCUCUUACAAUUUGGUUUGUAUUUUUAAAGGUGGCUUUAACUGAGCACCGCACCUUCGUGCUCUGUUAACUGAAUACCUCGCCUUCCUGCUCGGAAUUUGUCCAACCUGGUCCUGACUACCUGGUAACACAGCUGGAGUAAGGACCUUGGGAUCUGGUUCCCCCUCACCCUUCACCCGCAGGGCCUUGGACUAGUCCUCCAAUCCUUUCCACCUUAAUGGGGCUAAUAGCACCUACGUGACCCAACCUACCAGCUGAGUGAGUAUUAAAUCUACUGCUCAACAUGAGAGCCUUUAAAAAAUAUCUCAGUUAAUUAAUUAGUUGACUAAUUAACUAGUUAAUUUUGAGGUGGACAAGGAUUCGCUGUGUAACCCAGAUUGGCAUCAAACCUGCAGUGAUCCUUCUGACUCCACCUUUCGAGAGUGCCAGGAUUACAGACCCGUGCCAGCAUGCCUGUCUUGACAGUAUACCUUUCAUAAGCACAGAAAGCACAUGAAAGGUCAGAAGGUGGCUUCAUUUCUGCCUUCAGAGUUGCAAGACUACCUGACGAAAGCAACUUAAUGGAGGUUUGUGCCGGCUCACAGUUCCUGGGUACGGCCCAUCAUGGUGGGUGGGGAAGUCACGGCAGCAGGAGCCUGAGGUGGCUGGUCACAUUGCAUCUACAGUCGGGAAGCAGACACUGACAGAUGCUAGUGCUCAGUCAUUCUUAUUCAGUCCUGGGCUCUGGCCACAGACUGGUGCUGCCCACCUUUAGGGUGGAUCUUUCCACCCCAAUUAACCCAAUUUAAACAGUCCCUCGCAGACGUGUGCAGAGGCCCAUCUCCUCUGUGAUGUUUACAUCAUCGUAAGUCAAUUGAAGAACGUUGGAGUGAUUAUGAAUGGACACAGAAAAUGUGGUUCUUUUAUACAAUGGAAUACUAUUCAGCUACUAAAAACAAGGACAUCAUGAUGUUUGCAGGCAAAUGGAUGGAACUAGAAAAUAUCCCGAGUGAGGUAACCCAGACCCAAAAGGACAUGCAUGGUAUGUACUCACUGAUAGGUGGAUAUUAGUCACAUGAUACAACCCACAGCCCAUAAGAAGCUAAACCAGAAGGAGGGCCCAAGUGUGGAUGCUUCAAUCCCAAUUAGAAGGAGGAACAAAAUAAUCAUGGGAGGCAGAGGGAGGGAGGGACCUGGGUAGGAGAGGGGAAGGGAGAAGGGGGUGCAGGAUCAGGAGAGAAGCCCAGAGGGUCAGGAGAAUGAAUAGAAAUGUGCAGCUGCGAGGGAGUGGGGGUGAGGUGUGGGGGUUGGGGGAGUGGGAGGAACCUCUAGAAAGAUCCAGAAACCCAGGAUGUGAGAGAGGCUCCCAGGACAGCCAUGCUAGGCUCCUGUCUACAACAUGACUGAGACAGAUGUCUGAAACUUACAACCAACCACUGGGAGAGUUAGGGGAAGGAUUGAAGGAGCUGAAGGGGAUGACAACCCCAUAGGAAGACCAAUAGAGUCAACUAACCCUGAGCCCUGGGAGCUCCCAGAAACUGAGCCAUCAACCAAAGAGCAUGCACGGGCUGAUUCGAGGCCCUGGCACAUCUGUAAGCAGAGCACGGACUACCUUGUCUGGCGUCAGUGGGGAGAGGAUGCAUCUAAUCCUGUAAAGAAUUGAUGUCCCAGGGUAGGGGGAUGUGGGGAGAGAACCCUCUCAGAAGCUAAGGGGAGGGGGCCUAGGGGACAACAUUUGGGAUGUAAAUAUAAAAUAAUUAAUUAAAAAAAGAAAUAGUAACAAUAGAUUGAGAUAGGAAAAUACAGUAUGAAUGUACACCUUAGAAAGUGUAGACUUGCAGGGGAAGUUAAGCAAACAGGAAGGAAAAAAUGGUAACAUUCAUAGUGAGAAAGUUGACUCCAAUUCGAAAAUUGGUUAAUGAUAUUUAUCAAUAAAAAUGAAAUUAAAAAGUCUUUUGUAAGCAAAAAUGUGGCUUCUGCUCUCAGAAAAGUUGCAACCCAACAAGGAGCAUGAAUAAACAGUGGUAACAGUAUUUUGUAAAUGUAUAUAAUGUAUAUGUAUAUGAUGUAUAUGAUGUAUAUGUAUGUAUAUGUGUAUGUGUAUAUGUAUAAGUGUGUAUGUAUAUAUGAUGCAUAUGUAUGUUUAUGUAUAUGUGUAUAUGUAUAUGAUGUAUAUUAUGUAUAUGUGUAUGUGUGUAUGUAUAUAUGAUGCAUAUGUAUGUUUAUGUAUAUGUGUAUAUGUAUAUGAUGUAUAUUAUGUAUAUGUGUAUGUGUAUAUGUAUAUGUGUGUAUGUAUAUAUGAUGCAUAUGUAUGUUUAUGUAUAUGUGUAUAUGUAUAUGAUGUAUCUAUAUGUUUAUGUGUAUGUGUAUGUGUAAUGUAUAUGUAUAUGAUGUAUAUGUAUAUUAUAUGUAUGAUGUAUAUUUAUGUUUAUGUACAUGUGUAUGUGUAUACGAUAUAUAUGAUGCAUAUGAUGUAUAUGUAUGUUAUGUGUAUGUAUAAUGUAUAUGUAUAUGAUGUAUAUGUAUAUAUAGUAUCUGCAUAUACGUAUGUACAUGUAUAUAAUAUAUAAUGCAUAUAUAGUAUAUAUGAUGUGUGUGUGUGUGGCCACAGGGUCCUUGGGAGAGGAAUAAGCAAUGGACUACAAUAAGAAGCUUGGACUUGGGAGUUGACAGAAUCCACAGAGGAGUAUGAUAUGAUGUAGACCUCGAGAGGAUAAGCCACAUGAAGGCAGUGACUUCGGCAAGUCUUACAUAUCCUGAGGGCCUAGAACACUUAGUGGCUGCCCAGAAAUACCGGCUGGUUUUUGACUUGGCUCAUUUGGGAUGCUGGAGGCAAAGAAGCAAGCCUACUGUCCAUUGAUGAUGAGCUGACAGUUGGUAACCAACUUCCAAGGAGGAUCUGAGCUCAUUCUAGGGCAGAAGCAAUUUAUUCCCUCCCACCCUCCCCCUCCUUGUCAAGCUGAAAGUUGAGUCCUAACCUUGCACGAAGCUCUGGUAAGCUGAUUCCUGAAGAGUCUUCUUUGCUGAGGGUCUCGGGUUAAGAGAGAGUUCUGGAGCAUUGAGGAAGGGCUCCUAUGAUGCAAGAUGGUGAGGGGAUCCCCACUUUGGGCUGAGUGAGGGAGUUUGCAUGCCUGCGAGAUGAGUCAGAGUAGCUGUGCCUGUUCAGAGAUUUUCUCCUGAGCUGAAUAUAGUAUUGCCCACCUAGAAUCCCAGAAUUUGGGAGGAUGAAGCAGGAGAAUUGCUCUUCACCCAGCAACUUUGAUGUUAGCCUGUGCUACAGAGCCGAUCUCAAAAAAACAGUGGGGCUGGAAAGACAGCCCAGCUGUUAAGGGCACCAGCUAUUCUUGCUGAGGACCCACAUUUGAUUCUCAGCACCGGGAAGGAAGUUCACAAGUAUCUGUAGUUCCAGUUCCAGGGAGCCUAACAUUCUCUUCAGGCCUUUGCACACACUAGGCAUACACACAUUACACAGACAUACGUGCAGGCACCCACCCAAAUUUCUUUUUAAUUAAGAUACAUAGAUUUCAAGGAUGGAGAAAUGGCCUAGUGGUUAAGAGCAUUUGCCGUUUAUGCCGGGGAUCACAACCGCCUGCACAUUCUGCCCAGGGAUCCCGAUGUCUUCCUCUUGCCUUUUGUACUUGCAGGGAAUCCUAGAUUUGAUCCCCAGAAGAACAUAAACCCAGGAGGUGGAGACAGAAAGAUCAAUGUCAUCCUCCAUUAUUUAGUGAAUUUGAGGCCAACCUGUAUUGCAGAGAGUCUGCGUGUUGACAUCUGUGUCACAAGCAAACAAGAAACAAUGAAAAGAAUGCCUAAAAAAAUGGAACAAAAAAGCCCCGUUUUCCCCAUUCUCUGAGGACCCGUUGUCUGAGCCUUGCAGGCUCGUCUAUGAUGAAGCAGUGGCUGAGUGGAGUAGAGGAGGAGUUUGGAUGUUAGUGCUGAUCUUGCCAGCCAGUGCUCUACACUCUGAGUCAAACCUACAAGAGAGGGAGCACUGCCAGUCAGGGACCCAGUGCUCAGCCCAGCCCCUCAGGUCAAACCCACCUCUAAGCUACAUUUUCACGUGUCCAAAAGGAACAGUUAAGCCUGUACUGUCUUCCUUUCCGUGCAGUCUGGGGAUCAAGUGGAAAUAAUGUAUAUGAAAAUGUUCCUAACAGGAUAAAGAGCUUUGCCAGGAUGAGAAAUUGCUUUUAUUUCAAAUGAUGUCAAGGGUGAGAUUUCUAAGAAGUCAUUUGGGUGGGUUGUUAUUUGAAAUUGUGUUUUGCUCUGUGUGUGUGUGUGUGUGUGUGUGUGUGUGUGUGAGAGAGAGAGAGAGAGAGAGAGAGAGAGAGACAGAGACAGAGACACAGACACAGACACAGACACAGACACAGACACAGAAACACAGAGACACAGAGAAACAGACACAGAGAGACAGAGAGACAGAGAAACAGGCAGACACACACAGACAGAGACAGAGAGAGACAGUGACAGACACACAGAGAGACAGAGACAAGCAAACAGGCACAGAGAGAGGGGGAGGGGAAGGAAAGAGGUAGAGGAGGAGGGAGAAGAAGAGGGGGAGGGGAGGGAGAGAGAGGGAGAGGUGGAGGGAGAGGGAGAGAGAUCAGGGCCUGCUUUAUCCAGAACCAGAGUAAAUGUGGUGUGAAUACCCAGUUUAUUCUGAGGUAUUCUGAUGCUGAUCGGAUGAGCACAGAUCCCACUAAGUCCUGAGCUAGGAUCUUUAGGGCUACUGGAAGGAGGAGAAAAUGGGCCAGCACCUCAGUUUUCUCAGGACCUCAGUAGCUAUUUGUAGAAACCGAUCUGUUCUCUGCCCAGAGCCACCGUUCUCUUCUUCCACUCCACAACUUGUAUGUCUCGAAUGUCUUAUUAUUCCUAGCUAAAAAAAUGAGAAGACUUGGGGUCAGAGAGGUCUAGCUCUUUGGAAACUGGCAGCAAUGGCCUCAGAGUGACGAUGUGUCGUCUGCUUUCAAAACCCAGCAGCUUUCCUCGUGCAUUAGCUGUUUCCCUUGCUGUGAGAACAGACUCCAUGUGUAGACGGGGCUCGCCUCAAACUCAGAGAUCCAUCUGCUUCUGUCUCCCACCUCCUAGGACUACCUAACUCCAACCGAUAACCACUCACAAAGGAAGAUGUGUGUUUGUUUUCUAGUGAGAAAGAGUGUGGAGCCAAGUAGAAGAGAUGCAGGCUGUGUGUUCUCACCAGAGAAACGAAUCUUCAACCUUGGGCACCCCAAAACCAUGAGCCGUGGCAAAUCUUUCCCCCUCUUGAUGUGGCAUCUCAGGCUAUUACCUCACAGUCACAGAGAACUGACUAGCACACUUGGUGUGGGUCUGUUGGAGAGCAAAGGCAGAAUAACGAAAGAACCCAACGUGCGCCUUCUGAUGCUUUCAAGGUGUCUCCAUCUGUUUUCUGCUGCUAUAGUAAAAUGCUUGAUACUAGGCAAUUUGCAAAGGAAAGAGGCUUAUUUAGGUUAAUGGAGAGUGGGAUGCUGGAGAAUCUGGUGACAACAUCUGUCAAGUUUCUCCAGAGGGUCUUGUUCUGCUUCAACCCAUGGCAAAAAGUGGAAGAGCGAGUGGCUGCAGGCUCGAGAGGCAGGACACAGGUGUGGCCUGGCUUCAUGUCAGCCUGCUCUUGUGAUAGCUGAUCUUGUUGUCUGCAUUAAUCCCUCUUGUGGAACUAGUCACCUCUUAGAGGCUUCAUUACCCCACCACCCAGCACAUUAGACGAGGAAUCGAAUUCCAGCGUGCACUUCAGAGGAGACAACCCAUAUUCAAACCCCAGCAGGAGGAGCUAAAGCAGGAGGCUUUGGUGUCACGCCCACACCACAGAAACAACAUUAUCCAGGCUGGCGGCACAACUAGCCAUAUCAUCCCUAUGCGUAAAAUAAAGAUAUGGGGUCAGGUGAUGUCUGAGAUGCUUUCUAGUCCUCACAUGUUUUUGUAAGCCAAGGGUGGGCUUGAUGUGGAGCGUCUGACUGGGGUCAGCUAGAGGAAGAAACCAUGUGAGCUCCCAGUGAGAGAGGACGUCGGUUUGGGAAGAUGAGACAUGGUCAGUCGUGUGAGCAUAACUGGAUGAGGGUGUGGCACCUGCUGAAACAACAGACGCGUCAUCCCCGACAGACCCUGCAGCCUAGGUGGAGUUUCUGGGCUUGUAAAACACUAACCCAAACAUGGCAAGACGUUAAUCUGUAGGGGACAGAUUAGUGUGUAUGUGGCUCAGCUGACCACAGGGCAGGGACUAGGGAUGGCAAUGGCCAGAAAUGGGGCAGGGAACCGGGCUGUGAACUCGUCCGGUUCUUAGCUCCACUUUUCCUUUUGUGGCAUGUGCAUGUGCCUGUCUGUGUGGAGUCCUUCUUCUUCAGGAGCAGAUGAGUAAACUGGACUUACCUGUCUUGGGCUUCCCUUCCCUUCCCUUCCCUUCCCUUUCCUUGUGUGUAAAAACACAUAUCUGUGUGAAGUCCUUUUCCGGGAGUAGUCCAGUCUACCUUGUGUUUUGAGACAGACUCUCUCACUGGGACUCGGACCUGCUGGUUAAGCCAGUCUGGCUGGCUAAUGAAUCCCAAGGAUCCUUCCCACCCUGCCUCCUCAGUGCUGGGACUAAAAGCAGCAGCACCACGAUCCCCAUCCCUUUUCGAUGUGGGUGCUGGAGACUGGACUUAGGUUCUCAUGCUUCUUGCCCAGCAGCGACUUUACCCACUGAGCUCUCUCCUGGUCCCUCCCUCUCACCUCUCACCUCUCACCACGCUGUUGAGACUCUCAAUCCAGGCUGGCCUCAUCCUCACUGUGGUGAUGAGAAUGGCCUUGAACUUCUGACUUUCCUGUCUACAUCUCAAAACCUGGUUUACAUUUUACUGGAGAGAAAGCCUGGGGCUUCUUGGAUGCUAGGUAACAAUAUCCAACUGAAGUCCAUCCUGAGACCUCUACUGACUAUUUCUUUAUGCUGAGCUAUUUGGGCUGAGCGCGCUGGGGCUCUUUAAUGCUGGGGAGGGGAAUGUCAAUCAAGAUGACACACACAUGGGGAGGUGGGGUUGACUGAUUGGUGUGCAUAUGAGAAGUGGUAUAAUUUUAUCUUCUAACCCAGCCUGGCAGGGCCUGGGAGUUACUUAGUUUUUAAAGAAGGAAGACAAAAACCAGCAUAUACGAGUCUGUGGUUGUGCUCACAUGGGUCGCAGCUUGUGAGGAGGCAGCUGAAAUCCCAAAUCAAUAAGGUAAUUGAGUCAUUUCCCUCAAGAGUCUCAGGCUAUUACUUUAAGUGGACACAGGGCAGUCGGCUGUGUUUGUUGAGCUGUAAUCAGCUUUGGACUCAUUGGACACAUUGAUCUCUUCUAACACCAUUCGGUGUUUGCACUGAACUGGGAGAGGUUGUCUCUGUCUCCUCCGUCCGUUCCUCCCUCAGUCCUUUCCUCCCCAUUCCCCGGGCUUCCAAAGAACCAAAGCAAAUGCGUAUUUUCCUCUGCCAGCUAGGCCGGAGGCUUUCUGCUCCCCAUCACUUGUUCUAACAGCAAAAAUCAAUUUUCCAAGACUCUACACUUCUACACACACACACACACACACACACACACACACACACACACACACAUCCUCCUCUCAACAAAUGUGCUUUUUAAUUUAGGAAAAGCGUCAAAACAACAGGUCCACUAUAGUUCUACAGUGUGUCCUAGGGCAGAAAAGCAGUUCCCAACCCGGCAAGGGACAUUGUCCUCAUUGAAGCUGCUCCCAACUCUGGUCAGCUCACAAUCCCAACCUUUGUGAUGACCAAAGAAUCAUGGCCUGUCCCCUUCCCCUCAGACUCCACCCUGCUGGCCCCCAAAGGUCACUGUCAGUGAUGUCACGGAAAAGUAUGUGUUAGAGCCUGUCCUCAGAGGCAGCCCUGGAAACUGCUGGUGGAUUCCAGAAAGUUGGCAGCGUUGCACUCCUUUUACUGAGCCCUGGCCCUGAGAAACGUCUCCAUCUUGAAUGCAGGACACAGGGGAAGGACUCCACUGUGGCUGGUGUGACCUGGAUGGGUGACCCCUCGGACAGUGUGGAUGCUCUGACUUCUACUGUGGUUUCCAUAUUCUUUCCCCUGGCAGUCCAUGGAGUACGGGGGGUGGGAGGGGACUUAGUCCUUCCCCCUAGUCCCUAGCCUCUCCUUGUAGAGCUACUUUUUCUCUUCUUUGUACUUGUCCCCCUUUGCGUCCCCACCCCCUCCCCCUCAUCUUCAGUAGAUUCACACACAGAAAUGCAGUCUCAGGCACAUCCCAUCCUGCAUCCAGAGCUCUCUAUUAACCCUCUCUGGCUCUAACUGGGGACCAGAGAAAAAAAUCCAACCAAAGCCCAGAUGUGUCAGCAGUGCCUUUAGCUAUAACCCACACAGGCUGCUCGCCUGGCAAGAGAUUCUCCCAAAGAGCCUAAGGCAUCAUGGGAAAUGUAGAAAGGCUCUCACACUCCAGAAGAAAAUCUCUACCAACCUAAGAACAUACAUGGGCCAGCCCUAGCUUCCCCUGCACAUAUGCAGCAGAUGUGCAGCUUGGGUCCUGAAUUUAUUCAUCUGGGUCCUGAAUAAAUGGAGCGGGGACUAUCCCAAAAGCUGUUUCCGGUAUGUGGGAUAUGUUCUUCUAGCUGGGCUGCCUUGUCUGGGCUCAAUAGGAAAGGAUGCGGUUAGCCUCGCAGACUCGAUGUGCCAGCGUGGAGGAAUACAUGGGGUGGGAGGAGCACCCACUCAGAGGAGAGGGGAGGGGGGUUCAAGAAGGGAGUGGUGGGGGGCAGUGAGUGGAAUGUAAAGUGAAUAAGUGAAAAUAAAUAAGUAGAUUAAUAGAUAGACAGAUCAUUAGAUAAAUAAAUAAAUAGUUGACCAUCUUAGUGCUGCCUACAGGACUUGCACUGUUCUAGGUAUCUGCAUGUGACUUCCAAUGAUGCUUUAAGCUUCCUCUGUUGGGAGCUGACUGCACUGUGAAUUUUAAGCUAAAGAAACCAAGGCGGGGUAAGGAGGUGUUAAAUAGCUAGGUAAGUAAAUUGUUUACCUUAUAAGGUUGAGGGCCUGAGUACUGAUCUAUAAAACCCACGUUCUAAAAGCCAGCUAUGGUCGCUUGUGCUUGUUAUUCCAAGUCCGUGAAGCAGAGGCAGGCAGAUCCCUGAGGCUCUGUGGCUGAACAGCCUAGCUACAUUUUGUUGCUGUUAAAAAGAAGAAAAAUAAUAAACAAACAAAUAAAUAAGGAAAUAAAUAAAAUGGUCAGUGUUUGAGUAUUGACAUGAAACUAGGUUGUCUCUGACCUUCACAAUCACACACACACACACACACACACACACACACACACACACAUGCCCGUGCAUGCACACAUUCAUAAGCACAGACACCAUAGACAGACAGACACAUACACACACAUGCCCAUGUAUGCACACAUAAACAAGCACAAACACACAGACAGACAGACAGACAGACACACACACCCAUGUAUGCACACAUACAUAAGCACAGACACACAGACACAGACAGACAGACAGACAGACACACACACAUGCCUGUGCACACACACAUUCAUAAACACAGACACGCAUAGAUAGACAGACAGACAGACAGACACACACCCAUGUAUGCACACAUACAUAAGCACAGACACGCAGACACAGACAGACAGACAGACACACACACAUACGCGCGCGCACGCGCACACACAAAUACUCUGAGGCCAAGUGGUGCAGCCAAAUAGCAGUUUUAAAAGUAAGCUUUUUGACUUGAAAUCUAUGACUCUGUACUACCCUGCUCUUUGAAACUGCAUUAGGUAGCCAGGAUUAUUUACCCUACAGAAGGGAGGGGAUGUGUAUAUGCUUACACGCGCACACACACACACACACACACACACAGAGAGAGAGAGAGAGAGAGAGAGAGAGAGAGAGAGAGAGAGAGAGAGAGAGUAACAGAAA